UUGAGGCUCGACUCCUCUGAAAUUUCAACGAUACAGCGAAGAUUAGCACGGCUGCUGCGCCAGAUCGACACGCUAAAUCGUGAAGCAUUCGGACACUUAUAUUU